GCGAGGGGAGCGUGAAGGAGCGGGGCUGAGAGGGGGGCGAGCGGAGCGGGACGAGCUGCCCGAGCCCGGGGCUGCCCUGCCGGGCCAUGGCGCGGCGGGACGGCGGCGGGACGGCGCUGCGGCUGCUGCUGUGGCUGUGGCUGUGCGCGCUGUGCCCCGGCCCGGCCGCCGCUUGCAGCCCGCGCUGCCGGCACGGUGGGCUCUGCCUCGCCGACGGCUCCUGCCUCUGCUCCAAGGGCUACGAGGGCGAGCGCUGCCAGCACGCUACAUGUUAUCCAAAAUGCAAAAAUGGGGGAGAGUGUCUCCGACCUGGAAAAUGCAGAUGUCCACCUGGCUAUGGGGGUAGAUACUGUCAUAAAGUAAGCUGUGAAGGAGGGUGUCAGAAUGGUGGGGAAUGUGUCUCUGUCAAUGGAGUUGUGAAGUGCCUGUGUGCUUCUGGCUGGACAGGAUCAAGAUGCCAGGAAGCAAUUUGUCCUCAAGGUUGUCGCAAUAAUGGAGCUUGUGUGGCUCCUGGGAUUUGUAGCUGUCCAGCUGGAUGGGUCGGUAGAGCAUGUCACUUAGCUGUAUGUAAACUGCCUUGCCAGAAUGGAGGGAAAUGCAUCGCUCCAAACGUGUGUAGAUGUCGACUGCCAUACUCUGGGCCGCAGUGUACAAAGAAAAGGAAGGAAUGAAGCAACUUCAGCCAAGAUAAGCUGCACUUUUUUUCAUGUAACUAUACAGAGAGGAAGACUGCAGCAGUGGGUGACCUUAAAAUAAACAUGCCAGCAUGACUAUCUGUGGUAUCUUCUGUGAUACAAACUCUUCAGAGAGCAUUCACUGUACUGCAGUUUAAAAGAUCUUUUCAAGAUCAGGGUCAAAAAUCAAUGUGCACUUAGAAGAAUUUCUGCUGGCCUGCAGAGCAACUGUAGUACAACCAGAGGACUCCAGUAUAACCUGGACGACAAGAGCACACAUUGGGCAAUACACACUUGCCUCCAAACAGACACUUCUGGCUGCACACAGCUAAAACAAGAGAGAUUUCCUCAUAAUCACAACUAAGGAGUGUGGAGAAGAAAAAAAGAAAGUAUUACCAUUCUGACAGUGGGCACCAAAGAAUCCACGUGGACACAGGCAAACGUCUGGCUUAGUACAGGAACCACCAUUGAG